ACCUAGGAAACAAAGAAACAAAGCAGAAUGCCUUAUAUGUAGCAAUCUGACAGCUAGGUCUCACUGCCAUCCUAACCCACUUUCUCUAACAAGAUUUGAGUUUCCCCACUCACCCAUUCCUUCUGUUCCCUUGAGAGCCUUCUUGAAUUCUCCUAUCUGUUCCAAAGGUUUAGGCCUCAAAUUCCUACCUUAAUCUCUCCUGACUCUCACCUUUUCCUGGUAGAUUUCCAAAUAGGACAUGGAGACAGCAAGAGCCCAGGGUCGCCCUUCAGCACCCUCCUCCCAGGAAGAAGACAAGAGGGAACAGUAAAAUUACUGGCUCUCUGACAGCCUUAUUGUCUCUUCUUGCCAUCUGCACAAAGCCCUGGAUCCAUUCUAGUCUUCCCUAACCUGCGCCUGUUGGACCAUAGGCAAGCACACUGGCAUUCUGUCCAUUCAUCAAGUGGCGCAGGAUGGGCUGGACAAAGCCAACAUAGAUGUCCUGCUGAGUGCUUGUUUCUCCAUAAAAGGCAUCAAACCUGUAAAGCAGAAAUAUAGGAGUAGGAUGAGCUAGUUAAAACUAUAAAAGAAAGAGGGUAUUGGAUCUAGAGCACAGAGAUGGGAUAUCAUAGCAGGGACAUAGGCAUGAAGAACAGCAAUAAACAUGGUCAGCGAAGCAGUCCCCUCAGUAGAUGCCAAUGUGAGGAUACUAGGGAUUCUGAAGCAGUGAGAUAAUGAAAGGGACCCAGGGCCAUUACUGGUAUUUGAGUGUCUCCUGACUAUUUCUUCCAUUGGCAAUUUCCAAGGAGCAGCUGUCUAGGCCCCGGACACAGGAGCUCUCACUGGUACUGCUGU